CCUCAGGGAGGGGACUGCUCCCAUGCAAGAAGACACCGGACCAGAGCUUUGAAAGAUCUGAGCUGGGGUAAGGGUAGGGGUGGCGGUGGGGAGCCGUGAUUGCACUGGGAAGCCUUCGAGGCAGAAGGAGCUGUGGGAGGGUGGGUUGGAAGCCAGUUAGAGAUGCAGGAUCAUACAUACCAAGUCAACAGUCCGUACAGUGAAGUUCAAAAGUAAAAACUACAAAAUGGAUCAUUCAUGUUUUUGAUCAAAGCAUGCACAGGGUGCUGUGGGGGAUCCUCAGAGCCCCGGGAGGAGGCAGGGGAGUCCCGUGGCUGAGCUCACUGGGCUAACUAAGGCUUCUGAAGGCGCGGCUGGAAGCUGGUGGAGGCCAUCUCCUGCAGAAUGGAGUGCAGGUGUAAGGCGCAGAGGUUGAGAGAAUGCGGCGUUGCCAGAGGGGAGCAGCCAGGCAGUUGAGGACACGUGGAAAGGACAUCGCUUGGAGGAGCGGCCGCACAGUGGAGGUGAUGGGUUGCUGGCAGCACUCACCAGCUCUUCAAUCCUAAGGGCUUGAACUGUGUUCUGAAUGGGGAACAGGACUGCCAGUGAGGAACUUAUACACCCACCUGUUCACAUAGGGUGUAGGGGACUGGGCUCUUUAUAGACCUUUACAUAAUAAUGAAUAUAUAAAAUACUUAAAAUAUUUUAAAUUUUAUUUGUUUAUUUGAAAGGCAGAGUGAUGGAGAGAGAGAGAGAGAGAGAGAGAGAGAGAGAGAGAGAGAGAAUCUUUAUCUGCUCACUCUCCCACCAAAUGGCCACAAGAGCUGGGACUAGGCCCAAGUCGGGAGCUGGGAAGUUCAUAGGGUCUCUCACGUGGGUGGCAGGGGCCCAGGUAUUUGGGCCAUUAUCCACUGCUUUCCCAGGUGCAGUAAGCAAGAAGCUGAACUGGGAGCUGAGCAGCCGGAACUUGAACUGGUGUACUGAUAGAGCAUGCUGGUGUCACCAAGCAGCAUCCUAACCCGCUGUGCCACAACACUGGCCCCAAAAUAUUUCAAAUUUAAACAUAGAAAUUUCUCCUUAUCAUAGCAACUCGUGUUCAUUAUGGAAAGCUGGAAAAUGCCUAGAGAACAAAAUGGAGGAAAAUCCCUCAAUCUCAGUACCUGAUAGAACUGUUUGUUGCUAUUUCAGCAACUGUUUCCCAAAUACAUAUAUUUAAGAAACCAGCAAUUUGUAUUUUUUAAAAUUUAUUUGACAGGUAGAGAUAAAGAUAGUGAGAGAGAUAGAGAGAAAGGUCUUCCUUUCCCAUUGCUUCACCCCCCCCCCCCAAAUGGCCACCACGGCCAGCGCACUGUGGCCAGUGUGCUGCGCUGAUCUGAAGCCAGGAGCCAGGUGCUUCCUCCUGGUCUCCCAUGUGGGUGCAGGGCCCAAGCACUUGGGCCAUCCUCCACUGCCCUCCUGGGCCACAGCAGAGAGCUGGACUGGAAGAGGACCAACUGGGACAGAAUCUGGCAUCCACACCGGGACCAGAACCUGGGGUGCUGGCGCCACAGGCAGAGUAAAGAUUAACCAAGUGAACCACUGCACCGGCCCUCCAGCAAUUUGUAUUUUGAAAUUCAUAUAUUGUUUAAGGGUUUUUUUGAAAGUCAGAGUUAUAGAUAGAGAGGGAGACACACAGAGAGAGAGAGAGAGAUCUUUCAUACUCUUGUUCACUCCCCAGAUGGCCAGUAUCUUCUUCUGGGUCUCCCAUGUGGGUGGCCAGGGCCCAAACACUUGGGCCAUCUUCUGCUGUUUUCCGCAGGCCAUUAGCAGGGAGCUGGACCGGAAGUGGUACAGCAGGGACACGAACUGGUGCCCAUAUUGGAUGCUGGCAUUGCAGGCCAUGGCUUUACCUGCUAUGCUACAAUUCCAGCCCCAUGAAAUGCAUGUUUUAUAACCUAAUUCUUAAUUGAACACUUGAUUGACAUGUAAAUUUGAAAAACUUAGUUAAAUGUUUACAUAAUUUUCUUGGUUUUAGAAUAUACACAUUUUAAAUCCUUUUGUUAUGUGUUGUCAGAUUACUUCUGAAAAGCGGCCUGUCAGUGGUGCUGUUGGUAUUUUGUAAUGCUCAUCCUUCCUGUUAUUUUUAACAAGUCACGUCUAUCUAGCACUAACGGGAGACUGUGAGAGCCCCCUAGUGGCCAAACUAAUUUCUGCACAAAAUACUAUCUUCAGUGGAAUUGAAAUCUAGUUCCUAAAUCUAAAUGGCAAAGAGAGAGGGUGACUAGAUAAUUCUAAUCUUAGCAGUUAAAAAUGCCUUGAUUAGAGAAGAGAUGUUAUUCUCUUUCCUUUCAAAUUCUUUAUGUGCUGCUGGAUUUUGAUAUAUUUUGAAGUUCACUGCUGUGUAAUAUAAAGGUUAAGAGUCUAUUCCCAAUCAGGUUUACAACCAAGUGCAUUAUUAUUUUUGAUGUGGAAGCUAAUAAUUACUGAAUACUCAUUAUGUUUUGGAUGCUCCUCCAAGCAUUUUACAUACAGCAGCACAUGAAAUUCUCACCACCAUCACGAAGUGAGUGCUAUUGCUAAUGCCAUUUUACUGGCAGGAAAUAGAACAUUAGUUGUUAACAUGAUUAUUUAACAAAAAAAGGCUACAUGACACAAUCAGUAAGAGAUCAGUCAGGAUCCCAGCCCAGUGCUCUUAACCACCCUGUUCUAGCAUUAUUCUAGACCUUGGAGUUCAAGAAUGUUCCCACUCAAGGUAACUUAACAAAAUGGAACUUUGAUUUAUGUAAGAAACAAAAAGCAAAAACAAUAGGUAUGGUGGAGACAGAAGCGUCUUUUCUGGACAUUUUUUUUAAAGGAAACUCUAUUAUUGAUAAUUCAAAUUAUGCUUUUAAAAUUAUGUAUUAAUUGAAUGAGAGGACACCUAAUUGAUUUGAUCAUUUUAUAAUUCAUGUUUUCAGUAAAAGUUAAAAUUUGACCUGUUAUUUCCAUGUUUUAGGUAGCAAAAUGGAAACAUAUACUCUUAAUUUCUGAGCUUGGGGGCCAGUGCUGUGGUGUAGUAGGCCAAGCCUCUGCCUGUGGUGCCCGCAUCCCAUAAGGGCACUGGUUCUAGUCCAGGCUGCUCCACUUCUGAUCCAGCUCCCUGCUAAUAGCUUGGGAAAACAGAAGAUGGCCCAAGUACUGGGGCCCCUGCACCCAUGUGGGAAUCCUGGAAGAAGUUCCUGGCUCCUGGCUUUGGAUAGGCCCAGUUCUGGCCAUUGUGGCUAUUUGGGAAGUAAACCAGUGGAUGGAAGACUUUUUUCUCUGCCUCCCUCUGUCUGUAACUCUACCUCUCAAGAAAAUAAAUAAAAUCUUUGGAAAAAAAAUAAUUUCUGAUAUAAAGAAUUUUAGCUUUAAAAAUUAAAAAAAAUUAAAAAAAAGAAUUUUAGCUUUAUAUUUAGGUUAUUUCUUAGUUUUCCUUCCGGUACUGACAUACUUGAGGCAGGUGUUUGGUCUAGCAGUUAAGUUGCUGGUUGGGAUGCCUGCAUUCUAUUUUGGAGUGCUGGGUUUGAUGUCUGGCCCUGGCUUCUGGUUCCAGCUUCCUGCUAAUGUUGACCUUGGGAGGCGGUGGUGAAGGUUCAAAUAGUCGGCUCCCUGCCAUUCAUAUGGGAAAGCUGGAUGGAGCUCCUGGCUCCCAGCUUUAGCUACCAGCCAUUGCAGAUAUUUGGGGAGUGAACCAAUGGAAGAGAACUCUCUGCUGGCCUUUUUCUCUCUCUGCCUCUCAAAUAAAUACAUUACAAAUUUACACAUUUUAUUAUUAUUACAGUUUUAGAAAAUGUGAUCUCCAGUUUGGGCUACAACUGAGAUGUAGUCUUCAGGAAGCAUCAUCAUACUAUAAAGGUUGAACUAGACAUGCUGUCAUCCAGUGUGUCCUGAGACCUCUGGUAGAGAAGCAGAUAAAUAGAAUUGAGUGUCCAAAGACAGAAAACACCAAGAGGACCAAAAACUCCAGCUGUUUUUUGGAGCUCCAGAUGGAAGUCACUGUGACGGUGCUGCUCUUUGAUGGAGCUAUGCCGCUUGAGGUAAUCAGAGAUUUUCUGCAGAGGAACUGGGAGGUACAACCCCUGCUAUUGGAGAAGGCUGCACUUUACAAGGAACAGGAAGUGGAUUCCUGUGGCCACCAAGGACUAUGCCCCGCCUCUAGCCAACUCCCUUGACCGCUUCUAAUUCCUGCCUCCGAUUUCUUCUGUGCAGGGUCUCAGAUUUCUGUACCAGCCCAAUGCAGGGACUUGUAAGUUUUCUCUCUCUCUCCCUCCCCCCCGCCCCAAUCCUUCAAUUCAGUUGCAUUCAGCUGACGUGUAUUGAAGGCACACAUGAGUUACAAUGAUGAACAAAAUCAAAAACCAAAACACAGAACCCUGGAGCUCCCAGGGUAUUUCACUUUUUAGAAGGCUAUGUUUGAUAUACUUACAUACAGUGAAUCUGUACCACAAUACUUCUGAAGAUGUUUGUACCUGGGGCUUUUGUAUUGUCAAGUAUUUAAAAUCUACCCAAAGAAUAUAUCCUUUAGAAACAAAUCUUAUUAGCAUUUUUAGACAUCUGAAAUCAGAAAUCUUGCCUACACAAUUUUAUUUAUGUCCUGUGUCUUCAUGUCUGGUUUCCUACAGAGUGCAUCUUUCUUAAUCUAUGAAAAAGGCUUUCAGAGAAGUUAAUACGAGAGUUGUGUCUAAUUAGCACUUCUUUGGCACAUGUCAAGUUGAGGUUAAUUAUGUUUCUCUAAUCCACAGCCUCUUUUACACAGAAAAUGUUUCACCUGCCAUGCCAUGGUAAAAGACAACCACUAGUAGGCGCUGAGAGCUCACUCUUUGGCCUAGGCCUUGCUGUCCGCUUGGGCUUUUGAAGUUGGUCUGCAAACAUUUGCCUUGCCAUAUGCAGUGACACUCUAACUAAAUCACUAGUCUGAUGAAUGACGUGUAGGUGUAAAUAGUAGAAAAUAGUUAACCAGGCCAUUUUCUUCGUUCAGUGAACAUCAGGUUUUAGGGCCGUGAGUGGCCCUCUAAUCCUCCCCGUAAGUUCCUUUGAAUCAAAAGUAAAAUUAAGGAACUUUCUCUGGAGUCAUACGAAAGACUCUUAUAUUUUUCAUAAUGGAAAGAAGACAGGACUGAGGGUCAGAGGCCUGAAGUCGGGUCUGAGUACACUUUACUAGUUCUGUUUUAGCUGUAGAAAUGUGAAGACACAGGAUGGCAGAGUUUUCUGGGAGAAAACUGAGACUAUUGGACUCUGAUAGACUGACUCUCAACUGGGAGGGUACUCGGGACUGUGGUAGCUCUGGAAUGCCAGUUUACUAAGGUGGGAAGUCAGAUUCUUUUUUUUUUUUUUUUUAGAUUUUAUUUAUUUAUUUAUUUUAAGGACUUAUUUAUUUAUUUGAAAGACAGAGUUACACAGAGAGAGGAGAGGCAGAGAGAGAGAGAGAGAGAGAGAGAGAGAGAAUCUUCCAUCUGCUGGUUCACUCUCCAAAUGGCUGCAAUGGCCAGAGCUGUGCUGAUCUAAAGCCAGGAGCUUCUUGGUUCAGGGGCCCAAGGACUUGGACCAUCUUCCACUGCUUUCCCAGGCCAUAGCAGAGAGCUUGAUAGGAAGUGGAGCAGCUAGGACUCCAACUGGCACCCAUAUGGGAUGGUGGCACUGCAGGCCGCAGCUUUACCUACUAUGCCAUAGCACCGGCCCCAAAAGGUUUUAUUUAUUUAUUUGAGGCAGAGUUACAGACAGGGAAAGACAGAGAGAAGGUUUUCUAUCCACUGAUUCACUCCCCUAAAUGGCCACAACAGCCAGAGCUGGGCCGAACUGAAGCCAGGAGCCAGGAGCUUCUUCUGGGUCUCCCACAUGAGUGCAGGGGCCCAAGCACUUGGGCCAUCUUCUACUGCUUUCCCAGGCCACAGCAGAGAGCUGGAGUGGAAGAGGAGCAGCUGGGACAUGAACCAGCACCCAUAUGGGAUGCCAAUGUCGCAGGCAGAGGCUUAGCCCACUAAGCCACAGUGCUGGCCCCAGGGAAGUCAGAUUCUAAGCACAAAGAUGGCUUGGGAAGUAGAGUCACAGCUAAGUAUUAUGGAUGCCUUUAACUAAUUAAUUAAUUUGAAAUCCAGCAUUAGCCGGUGCCAUGGCUCAAUAGGCUAAUCCUCCGCCUUGUAGUGCCGGCACACCGGGUUCUAGUUCUGGUCGGGGCACUGGAUUCUGUCCUGGUUGCCCCUCUUCCAGGCCAGCUCUCUGCUGUGGCCAGGGAGUGCAGUGGAGGAUGGCCCAAGUCCUUGGGCCCUGCAUCUGCAUGGGAGACCAGGAGAAGCACCUGGUUCCUGCCUUUGGAUCAGCGCGGUGCGCCGGCCGCGGCAGCCAUUGGAGGGUGAACCAACAGCAAAAGGAAGACCUUCCUCUCUGUCUCUCUCUCUCACACUGUCCACUCUGCCUGUCAAAAAAAAAAAAAAAAAAAAAAUCGAGCAUUCUAGAUGAGCGAGUGAGCGAGUGAGUGAGAGAACUUCUAUCAGCUGGUUCACUCCCCAGAUGGCCACAAUGACCGGGGCUGGGCCAGGCUGAAGCUAGGAGCCAGGAGCCAGGAGCCAGGAGUUCCAUCCAGGUUUCCCAUAUGGUGCAGUGGUAGGGGCCCAAGCACUUGAGCCAUCCUACCCUGCCUUUCCCAGGCCAUUAGCAGAGAGCUGGAUCAGAAGUGGAGCAGCCAGGACACAAACCAGUGCUGAUAUGGGUGUGGUGUCACAGGAGACAGCUUUACCCACCACGCUACAAUGCUGGUGCCUAUGCAUGCAUUUAGCAUGAGUUAGCAUGAGUUCCCCAGCUAACAUGAUUUAAGGGACUUCCCCAUUAUACCAAGAGCGUUACCAAUGGGACAGCAUCCUGAGAAUCUGUGUGCCAUCUCCUGUAGAUGUACGGGACCCUUAUCACCUGCAACUGCUUUGGGCUUCCUGGUCCUGGGUGUCCAUGGCUGCCUGCUUCCUUCCAAAUGGACGUGGCUUCUCUUGACUUAACAGCUGAUUCAUUCAAACAGGUGGCCACUUGGGUAGCUUUCUGUUCAUGCAUGCUGGGAUGUUUUAGACACUAAUCUUUUGAUUUCUCUCAUCAGAUAAUAAUAUCCUAAUUAUUUAGCUUUCACAUUUAUUAAAAGCAACUCACAUUUCCAAUGAACCUAUUUUGCUUCUAAAUAACACAAACUGUAGCUAACACUCGUGAGUGGCCAUCAGUGCCGGGUGCUGUGCUAAGACUGUGGUAACUUAUUUCACUUAGUCCUCGCGAUGACCACAAGGGAGCAUUUGGCGUUCUCACCGUGUAGAGGAAGGGCUCGAGUGAUGUGGGUCACUGGCAGCCCAGGUGGUGACGAGGGCGCCAUUCCAGGACAGCAGUCUUAGCAGCUGGGCCUCUCGUGUUGCCACUGAGUGCCUGAGUUUUGAAAUCUGGCUUCACACUCACCUGUCUGUGUGAUCCAUGGGUAAUCUGGGCACCGGUGCAUUCCGAUUGGUGGGAUUUGCAUGACUUCGAGUUUCAAAUGGAGUGUCAUGUGCAGACUUCACAGCUGCUUUUGCAAUGAAUUGAUGUUGCUUGAGUUUUAUGUUAUAUAUUAUACUUAGUCCAAAAGCUAUUUUUUAAAAAUGGCUUCUAUUUAUUUUUAAAAAAUAUUUAUUUAUUUGAAAGGCAGACUUACAGAGAGGAAGAGGCAGAGAGAGAGAGAGAGAGAGAGGUCUCCCAUCUGCUGGUUCACUCCCCAGAUGGCUGCAAUGGCUGGAAAUGCACCAAUCUGAAGCCAGGAGCCAGGAGUUUCUGGUGUCCCGUGCGGGUGCAGGGUGCUUUUCCAGGCCAUAGCAGAGAGCUGGAUGGGAAGUGGAUCAACCAGGAUAUGAACCGGUGCCUAUAUGAGAUGCUGGCAGUGCAGAUGGCAGCUUUACCCACUAAGCCACAGGGCCGGCCUUCCUUUUAUUUUUGUUUUAUUUGAAAGUGGAGGGUGGGGGGGAGACAAAGAGAAUGAGCAAUAUCUUCCAUUCAUUGUUUUACUCCCCAGAUGCCUGCAACAGCCAGGGCUGGGCCAGGCUGAAGUCAGGACCCUGGAACUCCACCUAGGAUCCCCAUGUAGACGUCAAGGUUCCAACUAUUUGUGCCAUCACCUGCUGCCUUCCAGGGUGUGGGUUGGCAGGAAGCUGGAAUGGGAAGUGUAGCUGGGACUUAAACCUAGGCACUUUGAAGUGAGACACGGGCAUCCCAAGUCACAUAUUAAUUGCUACAACACUCUCCCAUCCCAAAAGCUAUUUUAAAAAAUGUUGCCAGGAUGAAAAGCCCAUGAGAGUAUUUCAGGCAUGGAAAGCCAAGACACUCUGG